UACGUAGGGUGCGAGCGUUGUCCGGAAUUAUUGGGCGUAAAGAGCUUGUAGGCGGUUUGUCGCGUCUGCUGUGAAAUCCGGGGCUCAACCCCGGACUUGCAGUGGGUACGGGCAGACUAGAGUGUGGUAGGGGAGACUGGAAUUCCUGGUGUAGCGGUGAAAUGCGCAGAUAUCAGGAGGAACACCGAUGGCGAAGGCAGGUCUCUGGGCCACUACUGACGCUGAGAAGCGAAAGCAUGGGGAGCGAACAGG
rnacentral:rRNA from 1 species